UGGCGGACGGGUGAGUAAUGUCUGGGAAACUGCCUGAUGGAGGGGGAGUAACUACUGGAAACGGUAGCUAAUACCGCAUAACGUCGCAAGACCAAAGAGGGGGACCUUCGGGCCUCUUGCCAUCGGAUGUGCCCAGAUGGGAUUAGCUAGUAGGUGGGGUAACGGCUCACCUAGGCGACGAUCCCUAGCUGGUCUGAGAGGACGACCAGCCACACUGGAACUGAGACACGGUCCAGACUCCUACGGGAGGCAGCAUG
rnacentral:rRNA from 1 species